GUUUCUAGGAGGCACUAAAAUGGAUACGAAUCAUGCCAUGAACCCUUCACGACCACAGAUCAAAGCGCUGCUACACGGGCAAACUGCCGGUGCUGAUGGUAGGAGUUCGCCCUGGCAUAGGGGAGGCACAGAGGUCGAGCUUGUGGUCACCUGCCCAGGCCGCUGCUGCCAGCAACCAUGCCCUCGAGCUUCUGCUCCGGCCACAGUUUCGACCACCCGCUCAUGCUGCCGUAUACGUCCCUUAGUUGCUGCUAACGUCCACCACUCCAAGCUGCUUCUGAUGCCUGAUGAGGUCUCUCUCCUCCAUCCGUUCUUUCUAAAAAUUGUAGCUUUUCUCCUUUUGAAUAUGUAGUCAGUAGUGAAAAUGAUAUGCAUUUGUGGGUAGAAAGUUUUGUCAAUCAAUACAACAUUGGUCUGAGCAUGUUUUAGUUUGUGAUAAUUUCAUAUGUGUUCAAUGGUUUAGUUUUUAUUUAUUUAGGUAUCGGCUGUGCAUUGCUUGGAGUUUCUGUGCGUCCUGUUUGCCUUGAGUUGUAGUUUCAUACUGUUCCCUUUUUUUGAAUAUUCAGAAUUCUGAACCUACAAGUUCAGUCUGCUACAUCCACCCUGUUGUUAUUCUGAAUUUCUGCUUGUUAUUAUUCAGACUGCUACAGGUUCAGAAUUUCUUAAUUUUUUUGAUUAUCCUUGUUAUUCUGACUUUAUGUUCCACUUUUGCAGUUGAUACUGGAGCUUGGACCAUACAUUGAGGAGCUCAAGAAUACACAUGGUGCUAUUUUCGAAUUUGGAAUUCCGAAGUAAUUGUUCUGCGCAUUUUCUCCAAGGAUUUCCUUUUUUACACUGCUAUUUGUUUUUUGAAUGGAAACAUUGCUAAUAGUGCAUCAAGUAUGUGUCUAAUUUCUAUUCCCUCUGUGGAAGUUCUUAGAUUGUUUAUAUCAGUGGUCAUUGGAGGUUGAGACAAUGAAGUUGCUCCUGAUUUUGCUAUGUUUUUUUAACCCAAUUUACUUGUGAAUGCUUGUCUCUUCCAUUUCUUUAUGCAUCACUUGUGAUAAUAGUAGUCCCUCUUGUUGUUAUUGACUCCAAUUGGUGUACACAAAGCCUCAAAAAAGGGGUACAUAUAGUUAUUUUAUUUGCUCAUUAACAUGUGUUUUAUAGUAUCUUUCUAGAUGCAUUUUUUUUUGAGCGGGAUGCAUAAUUGAUUAAGAGGUUACAACUAAUCAAAUAAGCUCUAUUUGUAAUCAAACAUGAUAUUUUUUCACUAUCUACAGUAAAAUGUGUGUGCUAGCUCAAUUAACUACAAAUUACUACUUGUUUAUAUGAAACUUUUUUUAUUUGCUUGUUGCUUAUGUAUAUUCAAUGUUGAAACCUGUAUAUUUUUCAGGUUAAAACCCUAUUGGUUGCUCGACUUGGCCUAAAUGACGACUGUGACGAGGACCGAGUUGUGGUGCCCUUCGUCUCUGCUCCCUCUUCAAGCUUCCCAGCUGCCUGCUACCGGUUACUGAGAGAUAGAUGGCGGUGCUCGCCCAUGCUCUGAAGCCGCUGCCGCAGAAGCAGGUGUAGUUCAUCGAUCGAGGUGACCGAGGAGAGCUACAAUGCAUAAAGGAGGCGAAGGUCAUGUCCAUCGAGGCAAUUUCAGCAGGCUUCUAGUCUUGCUUCCCUUCUGCGCAAACAGAGUUCAGAUUGAACUUUGUUUUGUGAUCUGUUUGGGCAUGUGUUGUGCUAAUUACCAGGGAAAUUGGAACCUAAUGUUGAUCAUCUUGGAACCUAAUGUUGAUCAUCUUUCCAAGGAGAUCCUGCUGAGUCCAACCUCAGCAAUCAUGUAUGGUUUUAGAGUUAUCAACAAGUGAGGCUUCAAAUAAUGUUAAGGAGUCCACAAGGCAGGUGGAGGUGCUUCAGAAAGGCCUCGAGGACGUCGUGGCCUGGUCUUGGUUAAAACCUUUAUGGUGUAGGUGUUUCGGCUUCGUCUCAAGGACAUCGUGGCCGGCCCUAGGUUAAAGCCUCUAUGGUUCUGCUGCUUGGGUCUUGUGCAUGUUCCUGAUUUGUAUCAUCCUUGAGGAGGAUGGCGCGGCCUGGCCUACCGCCUCCCUCGUCGACCUUUUUGGGUCCGUCGUCAUCCAGCAUGGUCUCGAGGAUGUCGUGGCCUGGCCUUGGUUAAACCUUUAUGGUUCCGCCGCUUGCGUCAGCUGCAUUUCAUGAUGUGUAUCGGCAUUGAGGAGGACGGAGCGGCCUGUCCUACCAUCAUCACCCAGCAUGCUCUCGCGGUGCUCCUUCUGCGCUGGCUUUUGCCCGUGUGAUAUUGUUUGAAAGGAUUCUUGUACAGUUGUACUCCCUCCAUUCAGAAAAAAAUGACGCGAGUGGUGCAUAAAAAGUAGCCUAGGGACACGGACGUAUUGCGCGUCAAUUAAACAUGACCAGAGGUAUUAGUAUUCAGUGGCUACAAAUAAAGUUUGAAUGAUCUGAAGUUGUAAUAUACAUUCAUAAUAUACAGCUGUUCAUGAUUCAUUAUGUCCUCGAUUCAACUUCUGA